rnacentral:lncRNA from 8 species
AUGCAACUUUUCAGGGAAGUCAGGAACCAAUAUACACAGGCAAUUAGGAAAGCAAAGGCUAGCUUUUUCAAACAGAAAUUUGCAUCCUGUAGCACAAACUCCAAAAAGUUCUGGGACACUGUAAAGUCCAUGGAGAAUAAGAGCACCUCCUCCCAGCUGCCCUCUGCACUGAGGCUAGGAAACACUGUCACCACCGAUAAAUCCGCGAUAAUUGAGAAUUUCAAUAAGCAUUUUUCUAUGGCUGGCCAUGCUUUACACCUGGCUACCCCUACCCCGGUCAACUGCCUGGCACCCUCCACAGCAACUUGCCCAAGCCUCCCCAAUUUCUCCUUCACCCAAAUCCAGAUAGCUGAUGUUCUGAAAGACCUGCAAAAUCUGGACCCCUACAAAUCAGCAGGGCUUGACAAUAUGGACCCUCUCUUUCUAAAAUUAUCCGCCGCAAUUGCUGCAACCCCUGUUACUAGCCUGUUCAAUCUCUCUUUCGUGUCGUCUGAGAUUCCCAUAGAUUGGAAAGCAGCUGCUGUCAUCCCCCUCUUCAAAGGAGGUGACACUCUUGACCCAAAUUGCUACAGACCUAUAUCCAUCCUACCCUGCCUUUCUAAGGUCUUCGAAAGCCAAGUCAACAAACAGAUUACCGACCAUUUCGAAUCCCACCGCACCCUCUCCGCUAUGAAAUCUGGUUUCAGAGCUGGUCAUGGGUGCACCUCAGCCACGCUCAAGGUCCUAAAUGACAUCGUAACCGCCAUCGAUAAGAAACAAUACUGUGCAGCUGUAUUCAUCGACUUGGCCAAGGCUUUCAACUCUGUCAAUCACCACAUUCUUAUCGGCAGACUCAGUAGCCUUGGUUUCUCAAAUGACUGCCUCGCCUGGUUCACCAACUACUUCUCAGAGUUCAGUGUGUCAUAUCGGAGGGCCUGUUGUCCGUACAUCUGGCAGUCUCUAUGGGGGUGCCACAGGGUUCAGGGUUCAGUCCUUGGGCCGACUUUUCUCUGUAUACAUCAAUGA